CUACGGAGGGUGCAAGCGUUGUUCGGAAUUAUUGGGCGUAAAGCGCGCGUAGGCGGCUUGGCAAGUCGGGUGUGAAAGCCCGGGGCUCAACCCCGGAAUUGCAUUCGAAACUGCUUGGCUAGAGUCUCGGAGAGGAGGGCGGAAUUCCCGGUGUAGAGGUGAAAUUCGUAGAUAUCGGGAGGAACACCAGUGGCGAAGGCGGCCCUCUGGACGAUGACUGACGCUGAGGUGCGAAAGCGUGGGUAGCGAACAGGAGUAGAUACCCCUGUAGUCC
rnacentral:rRNA from 1 species